CUCGUACUCUCUGUGUGGAGUGGUGGAUCACAGCGGAGAACUGCAUGGAGGACACUACACAGCCACAGUCAAGUCUAAGGACAGACGCUGGUACUACAUCAGUGACACAUAUGUGAAGGAGGUUGAAAUGCCAACCAAAAAGUCGUCCACUGCGUACCUGCUCAUCUACAGAGAUACAACACAUUCCCCAGCACCAGAGAGCAAAGAGACCCAUGAAAAAGGAGGGCAAAAGAAGAUACGUAAAGAGAGAGACUCACCUGCAUCAAGCAACAACGACGAGCCCAUGGACUGGGAGCCGACUGGACAGAACGAGAUAGAGGAGGAGCACAGUGGACAGGGACGGG